rnacentral:rRNA from 1 species
UGGGGAAUAUUGCACAAUGGGCGCAAGCCUGAUGCAGCCAUGCCGCGUGUGUGAAGAAGGCCUUCGGGUUGUAAAGCACUUUCAGCGAGGAGGAAGGUGGUGAGCUUAAUACGCUCAUCAAUUGACGUUACUCGCAGAAGAAGCACCGGCUAACUCCGUGCCAGCAGCCGCGGUAAUACGGAGGGUGCAAGCGUUAAUCGGAAUUACUGGGCGUAAAGCGCACGCAGGCGGUUUGUUAAGUCAGAUGUGAAAUCCCCGGGGCUCAACCUGGGAACUGCAUUUGAAACUGGCAAGCUAGAGUCUCGUAGAGGGGGGCUAGAAUUUCCAGGUGUAGCGGUGAAAUGCGUAGAGAUCUGGAGGAAUACCGGUGGCGAAGGCGGCCCCCCUGGACGAAGACUGACGCUCAGGUGCGAAA